rnacentral:rRNA from 1 species
GUCGAGCGGACAGAAUGGGAGCUUGCUCCCUGAUGUUAGCGGCGGACGGGUGAGUAACACGUGGGUAACCUGCCUGUAAGACUGGGAUAACUCCGGGAAACCGGGGCUAAUACCGGAUGGUUGUCUGAACCGCAUGGUUCAGACAUAAAAGGUGGCUUCGGCUACCACUUACAGAUGGACCCGCGGCGCAUUAGCUAGUUGGUGAGGUAACGGCUCACCAAGGCGACGAUGCGUAGCCGACCUGAGAGGGUGAUCGGCCACACUGGGACUGAGACACGGCCCAGACUCCUACGGGAGGCAGCAGUAGGGAAUCUUCCGCAAUGGACGAAAGUCUGACGGAGCAACGCCGCGUGAGUGAUGAAGGUUUUCGGAUCGUAAAGCUCUGUUGUUAGGGAAGAACAAGUGCCGUUCAAAUAGGGCGGCACCUUGACGGUACCUAACCAGAAAGCCACGGCUAACUACGUGCCAGCAGCCGCGGUAAUACGUAGGUGGCAAGCGUUGUCCGGAAUUAUUGGGCGUAAAGGGCUCGCAGGCGGUUUCUUAAGUCUGAUGUGAAAGCCCCCGGCUCAACCGGGGAGGGUCAUUGGAAACUGGGGAACUUGAGUGCAGAAGAGGAGAGUGGAAUUCCACGUGUAGCGGUGAAAUGCGUAGAGAUGUGGAGGAACACCAGUGGCGAAGGCGACUCUCUGGUCUGUAACUGACGCUGAGGAGCGAAAGCGUGGGGAGCGAACAGGAUUAGAUACCCUGGUAGUCCACGCCGUAAACGAUGAGUGCUAAGUGUUAGGGGGUUUCCGCCCCUUAGUGCUGCAGCUAACGCAUUAAGCACUCCGCCUGGGGAGUACGGUCGCAAGACUGAAACUCAAAGGAAUUGACGGGGCCCGCACAAGCGGUGGAGCAUGUGGUUUAAUUC